CUCAGAGUUUGUUUUUUGGCUCAGGAUGAACGCUGGCGGCGUGCCUAAUACAUGCAAGUCGAACGCGCAGCGAAAGGUGCUUGCACCUUUCAAGCGAGUGGCGAACGGGUGAGUAACACGUGGAUAACCUGCCUCAAGGCUGGGGAUAACAUUUGGAAACAGAUGCUAAUACCGAAUAAAACUUAGUAUCGCAUGAUACAAAGUUGAAAGGCGCUACGGCGUCACCUAGAGAUGGGUCCGCGGUGCAUUAGUUAGUUGGUGGGGUAAAGGCCUACCAAGACAAUGAUGCAUAGCCGAGUUGAGAGACUGAUCGGCCACAUUGGGACUGAGACACGGCCCAAACUCCUACGGGAGGCUGCAGUAGGGAAUCUUCCACAAUGGGCGAAAGCCUGAUGGAGCAACGCCGCGUGUGUGAUGAAGGCUUUAGGGUCGUAAAGCACUGUUGUAUGGGAAGAAAUGCUAGAAUAGGGAAUGAUUCUAGUUCGACGGUACCAUACCAGAAAGGGACGGCUAAAUACGUGCCAGCAGCCGCGGUAAUACGUAUGUCCCGAGCGUUAUCCGGAUUUAUUGGGCGUAAAGCGAGCGCAGACGGUUGAUUAAGUCUGAUGUGAAAGCCCGGAGCUCAACUCCGGAAUGGCAUUGGAAACUGGUUAACUUGAGUGUUGUAGAGGUAAGUGGAACUCCAUGUGUAGCGGUGGAAUGCGUAGAUAUAUGGAAGAACACCAGUGGCGAAGGCGGCUUACUGGACAACAACUGACGUUGAGGCUCGAAAGUGUGGGUAGCAAACAGGAUUAGAUACCCUGGUAGUCCACACCGUAAACGAUGAAUACUAGGUGUUAGGAGGUUUCCGCCUCUUAGUGCCGAAGCUAACGCAUUAAGUAUCCGCCUGGGAUCGGUG
rnacentral:rRNA from 1 species